ensembl:lncRNA
GCUUCUUGUGUUGCCUGUUAGAAGUCCUCUAUGUGGACAGGCAUGGUGGCUCAUGUCUGUAAUCCUAGCACUUUGGGAGACUGAGGCCGGAGGAUCCCUUGGGCCCAGAAGUUCAGGACUAGCAUGGGCAACAUCGAGAGACCCAGUCUGUAUAGAAAAUUGAAAAAUUAACCAGAUGUGGUGGCGCACGCAUGUAGUCUGAGCUACUCGGGAGGUGGGAGAAUCCCUUGAGGCCAGAAGCUCAAGGAUGCAGUGAGCUAUGAUGGUGCCACGGCAUUCCGGCCUGUGCAACAGAGUGGGACCCUGUCUCAAAAAAAAAAAAAAAAAAAAAGUCCUCUAUGUACAUAACAAGCACAUUCCUCCCCUUUUAUUGCACUAAUAAAAGCUUGGUAUUCACACAGUUCUGGGCCUCCCUGAUUUUUUCUUAACUCUGUAUCUUGGGGAUUGCUUCAUAUCCACACAAGAAUAGCUACUCGACUCCCUUCCCUGAGUUCCCAUUAACUGAAUUCAUGUCGCAGGAAGAGGACUGUGGUCUGUCAACACACCUGGACAUGCCUGCUCUGCGGCCCCAUCAGACUUUGUCCCCAGGCCAUUGUAUGCUCUUCAAGUUCAUUGAAUCAUCCUAAAACUCCUUUACUACCCUCCUAACAUCAUCCAUGCUUCCUCACCUCCCUUUCCCUAAAAGAAAGGGUAUUUAACCAUCUGUACCCCAUUGCAUGGUGGGAGAAUCACACACUAAUAAAUUUAUAUGACUCUUCUCCUGUUAAUCUGCCUUUUUUUCUUUUUUUUUCUUUUUUUUUUUUUUUUUGAUACAGGGUCUCACUCUGUCACCCAGGCUGGAGUGCAGUGGUGCAGUGGUGCGAUCAUGGCUCAGUGCAACCUCCGCCACCCAGGCUCAAGUGAUCCUCCCACCUCAGGCUCCAGAGCAGCUAGGACAACAGUUGCAAGCCACCACACCCAGCUAAUUUUUGUAUUUUUUGUAUAGACAGGGUUUCACUAUGUUGCCCAGGCUGUUCUCGAACUCCUGAGCUCAAGUGAUCUGCCCACUUCAGCCUCUCAAAGUGCUGAGAUUACCAGUUAGGAGCCACCACACCCGACUCCAGUGAUUUUUUAAAUUAUUAAAUGAAUAAACAAUUUCUAACCUCUGGGAAGAAAAGAUAAAUUCACAGUGUCCGGGCUUUCUGUUUGAAGUUGAGGCUGUUCGAAGUCAGCAGGGGGGAACAUUCCAGACAGUGGCUGCUCCUGCUCGGUCUCAGCCAGGGCCCCUUCUUCGUUCCUCAGGCUCUGCUCCUGGGACUCCUCCUGGACUCCCCGCAGUCCUCAGCCCUGGUCUCCCCAUCCAAUCAAUCACCAGGUCCUGUUGACUCGACUUUUUCUUUCCUUUCUGGUUGGCCAGCCCGUCUAUCUGUAGGACACUGUUUCUCCAGGACCUGUUCUCUAAAGGGAGUGACCUGUAUUCUGAAGAUAUUUGUGGAAAUGUCCCCAUACAGGAGACGUCAGUUUUGGCCGUUUGUCUACCUACUCUUUGGUUUGCUAUGUGGCCCUGAGAAAGUAAUAAAGUAUUACACGAGAUGCUCUGUAUAUUAGUUUGCUGUUACCUCAUAAUAAUCUACCUCCAAAUUCAGUGACUAAUGCAGCAGUUAAUUGUUUAGCACAUGUCUGAGGGGUGGCUGAAUAUGACUGACCUAAGCUAGCCCAGGCUAGGGGACUCUGUGGAUGUCCUCGUGUGUCCGCAGGUGGGCUGGGGAGCUCGGGCUGUGCUCAGCUGCGGCCGCUCUGCUCCAGUUUUCCUGUCCUCCUUGGACGGCGGCCCAGCCCCGCCAGUUCUCAGGGUGAUGCUGACUCUGCUUCUGUUCAGCUGUUGUCUCUUGGUGAAGUUACCAUCAUCGCUUGCCUGGAAUGCCACACCCAAUCCCCAUUCCUCCAAAAAGCUGGUCUCCCUGCAUCUCUCCCAGUGUAUCCCCUCAAAAUCAGAUGUGACCUUUUAAAAAAAUACAAACCUUGGCGGGGGCGGUGGUAGCUCACGCCUGUAAUCCCAGCACUUUGGGAGGCCAAGGCAGGCGGAUCAUCUGGGGUCAGGAGUUCAAGACCAGCCUGGCCAAC